GACAGAGGUGGCAAGCGUUGUUCGGUAUCACUGGGCUUAAAGCGUGUGUAGGCGGGAACGUAAGCAUUUUGUGAAAUCCCCCGGCUUAACCGGGGAAUCGCUUGAUGUACUGCGUUUCUUGAGGCAGGUAGGGGUGCGAGGAACUCUUGGUGGAGCGGUGGAAUGCGUAGAUAUCAAGAGGAACGCCGGUGGUGAAGACGUCGCACUGGGCCUGUCCUGACGCUGAGACACGAAAGCGUGGGGAGCGAACGGG
rnacentral:rRNA from 1 species